rnacentral:rRNA from 1 species
UACAGAGGGGGCAAGCGUUGUUCGGAAUUACUGGGCGUAAAGGGCUCGUAGGCGGCCAACUAAGUCAGACGUGAAAUCCCUCAGCUUAACUGAGGAACUGCGUCUGAUACUGGAUGGCUUGGAUUUGGGAGAGGGAUGCGGAAUUCCAGGUGUAGCGGUGAAAUGCGUAGAUAUCUGGAGGAACACCGGUGGCGAAGGCGGCAUCCUGGACCAAUAUUGACGCUGAGGAGCGAAAGCUAGGGGAGCAAACGGG